CUGCAGUUUAUUAAGCUAACCAGCAUUGUUGACUGUUGCUGUGGUGUGCAAAAGCUGCACACAAUGAAUCUUCAGUUUGCGUAUGAGCCCUGCUGGGGAGUUGCUCGGUACAUCU